rnacentral:rRNA from 1 species
UACGUAGGGGGCAAGCGUUGUCCGGAUUUAUUGGGCGUAAAGAGCGUGUAGGCGGCCAGACAGGUCCACUGUGAAAACUCGAGGCUCAACCUCGAGAGGUCGGUGGAAACCGUCUGGCUAGAGUCCGGAAGAGGAGAGUGGAAUUCCCGGUGUAGCGGUGAAAUGCGCAGAUAUCGGGAAGAACACCCGUGGCGAAGGCGGCUCACUGGACCGGUACUGACGCUGAGGCGCGGAAAGCGUGGGGAGCAAACGGGG